rnacentral:lncRNA from 1 species
UAAUGUGAAAUUGGCUACCCCUAUUGGGUUGUAUCAGGCAAUUUAAAUUUGCUGUAGUUUGGUGAACAAUGGCUAUUGUUCAAAGUGUAUUCAGGUAUGCAUUUAAGCAUCCCUGGAUAUACUUGGCUGAGUUGAUCUCUUGACCAAUCAAGAGUCAGUUGGGGGUAGCAAUAAUGUACCCCCAAUAGGUAUAGAAGGCUUUCUUUUCAAGCCAGCUAGAGCACAAAUUGGCGGGAAGAGGGCAGAAGAGAUUGAGCUUUUGGAGAAGAAGGUUGUCUUCCCCGUGUCAGUUUGAGUCAAAGUACAACUCAACCUCACUAUAGAGGAUGUUUGCAUCUACACUGUCAUGACUGUAGGCCUAAUUACCAGAGUAGAGUAACCUAGAGAUAUUGAGAGUAGUGGGCGG